UAAAUCUCUGCUUCUCUCUCAUUCUCUUCCCCCUUACUACUACUACCAGCAACAUCGUUAUCAUCAACUUCAUAAACCCCCAAAUCCUUUUCCCUACUUUCUUUCAAAACCCUAGAAAUCUCUUUCUGUUUGAAGAUCCACCAAACCCAAAACCUAAUGGUCGUCGUUCAAAAAGAAGAAGAUAGAAAACAUCUUGGAAAUAGGGGUCAAUACAAAGGGGCAGAGAUGGAGUUCUAGGUCUGCUGUAAAGAGCUGGAUAUCACUCUGCUUGUUACAGGGUAAUCGCUAUUACAGUCGAAGAAGAAGAUGAUAUUGUAAAAUUUUCUGAUUACAAAGCUUCGUUAACGGCAUCCAGUGGAGGGGCGAAAAGCUCACCUGAACCUUCUCCACCAAAAAAGAGGCGGAGCCCGUGAGCUCGCCUGAGCUAACAACAAGUUCAGUGGCUGCUGAACCUCCUCAAUCAGAAGGUCCCAGUUUUGCUAUCCAUCUUGCAACAAAACUGGCUGAAGACUGAAGAGAACAACGUGUUUAUUUCAAGCGUUAAAGGCACAGGUCCUGAUAGCAGUAUUGUGAAGGAUGAUAUUGAUGGCUACUUGGCUAGCAAGGCAUCAUCCCCCAAGGAUAAAGCCACAACACAGUCAUCUAAUUUGGAUUACACCGAACUUCCACACACUCAAAUAGCAAAGGUAUGGUUAUUUUUCUGAAAGAUUGAGAAGCCAACUUAAUUCCGUCCAAGAAGAUUCUGGUGGGAAACAGAUCUCAGUUAAUGAUCUUGUAGUGAAGGCUGCUGCUUUGGCUCUUCGCAAAGUUCCUCAAUGUAACAGUUCCUAUACAAAUGAUUAUAUCUGCCAGUUCAAAACCAUCGUCUGAUGGAUAUGGGAGGAGAAUAAGAGAAGUUGCAUGUCCUACUUGCACCGUCCAUUUGCGGCAACACGAUGGCUCACCAUAGCUCCCGUUGCACCCACAACCCUAUGGUACCAACUCCGCUGUGUUUUGUCUCAGCCAAUAUAUGCCAUGGCUGGACGAGAUUAAUGGAACUCUUCGUAUGGUUGCUCAAAAUGCACAGAGUUAUACCGUUAUUACUUAACUAUGUCAGGUGGUUCAUAGGGUGAUGUGGAAAAUCCUUCUUUUAUCCUACUUUUCGAAUGCUCUUCUUGUAGACGUUUUCUUACAGCGGGGCUACCUCCUCUUUCGCGAACACUAGAAUCUAACUAGUAAGGCGUUAGUGAGAUCUUUGAUUUCAGCUGCAUCUCUGUCUUAGCAGCUUUCUGUAAUAAACAUGAAAAAUGGUGAGGUGUCACUUGUGAGUCUGUUGCUAUAAAACCAAAUAUGCUUUUGGCUCUCCAUAGUCUAGUCUCGGCAAGAACUCGCUGUUGUUCCUCCUGGUUCAAUCAUCUCUUACUGAAGUUGGUUUGUAUCUUUCAUUAAGACGUUAUGUACGACAGGGGAUAGAAUCCUGAGACAUGGACAAUGGUGAGAACAUUGUGGUUGCUGGCAAAGAAAAAAGAAGCCUGUAAGCGUGAUGGACGGUUUCCUGAGGUUGGCGCAAGCAAAUACAAAGAAAUAUUUAGAAACAUGUGGGGUUCUUGAUGGUAAACCGAAAAAUAGAGUAUUCCAUAUUACAACAUUGAUAAUUCCAAAGAAGGAGGCAACUUCGGACUCUUGCUCGACGAUGAAUGAAGAAGAAAUUUUUCGAGUUUCAAGAGAAACUCUUCCUUAUCCCCCUUGGGUGGAUUCAUGCACAUCCUUCACAGACUUGCUUUAUGUCUUCAGUUGAUCUUCAUACACAUUAUUCAUACCAGAUUUUGAGCAGCUUCAUUGGGCGUGCGACAUCUAACACACUUCUCUUGCUGGUUCCACCAGUUGAAAUGCCUCACAACCCAUGGUGACAACUUAAACUUCAAGCACCGGGCAUACCUCAUGCAGCAGAGAAUGUUCACCUGGUUAGCUUGUUCCAGCAGACGAAUGUGAGAGUUCUUAUUUCUUUUGAUCAUUUUGUAAGAACCUUAGUGUGAUGCUGAAUAUUUAUAAAUAUAUCCACAUGAUAUGAUUUUUGUGAUGU